rnacentral:misc_RNA from 1 species
GAUGAAGAACGUAGCGAAAUGCGAUAAGUAAUGUGAAUUGCAGAACUCAGUGAAUCAUCGAAUCUUUGAACGCACAUUGCGCCCGCCAGUAUUCUGGCGGGCAUGCCUGUUCGAGCGUCAUUUCAACCCUCAGGCCCCCAGUGCCUGGUGUUGGGGAUCGGCCCAGCCUUCCUGUAAGGCCGCCGGCCCCGAAAUCUAGUGGCGGUCUCGCUGUAGUCCUCCUCUGCGUAGUAGCACAACCUCGCAGUUGGAACGCGGCGGUGGCCAUGCCGUUAAACACCCCACUUCUGAAAGUUGACCUCGGAUCAGGUAGGAAUACCCGCUGAACUUAAGCAUAUCAAUAAGCGGAGGA